UUGCACAUUUUUAUGCUAAGAACAAAGAUAUUUCUGAUGUGCUGAACUAAUUUUUUGAGGUAUAUUAGCAGCAUGAUUUAUUUAGCCAUUGCUGUCAGUUACCUUCAGACAAAU
rnacentral:snoRNA from 1 species